AAGUGCGGGGUAGGGGAGCGUUGUGUAAGCGGAGAAACAGUAGCGUAAGCGGCUGUGGAGUUUACAGAAGUGAGAAUGCCGGAAUGAGUAGCGCGAAUGUGGUGAGAAUCCACAUGGCCGGAAACCUCAGGUUUUUGGAGGAAGGUUCGUCCGCUCCAAGUUAGGCGGGAGCUAAGGUCAGGCCGAAAGGCGUAGCCGAUGCACAGACGGUAGAGAUUCCGUCCCCACCGAAAGAUUUAAGCACAGGGACACUUUUUGAAGGUCGGAGCCAGGUGUUGGUUCUGGUAGUGAUCGAGGGAAAUAUAGUACCGAAGUCCGGCUGGAGAAGAGGCGAGAAAAGCUGUGUGUAUAUCUAAGGUGCCCGUACCGCAAACCGACACAGGUAGGUAGGAAGAAGAUUCUAAGGCCAACGGGAGAAGGGUUGUUAAGGAACUCGGCAAGUUGACCCCGUAACUUCGGAAUAAGGGGUGCUCACGAGAGUGAGCCGCAGAGAAUAGGCCCAGGCAACUGUUUACCAAAAACACAGGUUUGUGCUAAAUCGAAAGAUGACGUAUACGAGCUGACGCCUGCCCGGUGCUGGAAGGUUAAAAGGAGAUGUGCAAGCAUUGAAUUGAAGCCCCAGUGAACGGCGGCCGUAACUAUAACGGUCCUAAGGUAGCGAAAUUCCUUGUCAGGUAAGUUCUGACCCGCAUGAAAGGCGUAAUGAUCUGGGCACUGUCUCAACAGCCCGCCCGGCGAAAUUGUAGUACCGGUGAAGAUGCCGGUUACCCGCGACAAGACGGAAAGACCCCAUGGAGCUUUACUGUAGCCUGAUAUUGGGUUUCGGUGUUGCAUGCACAGGAUAGAUGGGACACUGGGAAGCGGAUGCUUUGGCGUUCGUGGAGUGGACGUUGGGAUACCAUCCUUGCGACAUUGGAAUUCUAACCUGCGCCUCUGAAUCGAGGCGGGGGACAUUGUCAGGUGGGCAGUUUGACUGGGGCGGUCGCCUCCUAAAAAGUAGCGGAGGCGUUCAAAGGUUCGUUCGAUCUGGACGGAAACCAGAUGAUUGAGUGCAAACGCAUAAACGAGCCUGACUGCGAGACUGACAGGUCGAGCAGAGACGAAAGUCGGAGUUAGUGAUCCGGUGGUAUGUGAGUGGAAAUGCCAUCGCUCAACGGAUAAAAGUUACCCUGGGGAUAACAGGCUGAUCUCCCCCAAGAGUCCACAUCGACGGGGAGGUUUGGCACCUCGAUGUCGGCUCAUCGCAUCCUGGGGCUGAAUUCGGUCCCAAGGGUUUGGCUGUUCGCCAAUUAAAGCGGUACGCGAGCUGGGUUCAGAACGUCGUGAGACAGUUCGGUCCCUAUCUGUCGUGGGCGCAGGAUAUUUGAAAGGCGCUGUCCCUAGUACGAGAGGACCGGGAUGGACGAACCUCUGGUGCACCAGUUGUCACGCCAGUGGCACAGCUGGGCAGCUAUGUUCGGAUCGGAUAAACGCUGAAAGCAUCUAAGCGUGAAGCCGGCCUUAAGAUAAGAUAUCCCACUGAGUCAAUCAGGUAAGACCCCUUGAAGACUACAAGGUUGAUAGGCACACAGUGUAAGCGGAGUGAUCCGUUCAGCUAGCGUGUACUAAUAGGUCGAGGGCUUGACCC
rnacentral:rRNA from 1 species